CUGACACAGGUGCUGCAUGGCUGUCGUCAGGCUCGUGUCGUGAGAUGUUGGGUUAAGUCCCGUAACGAGCGCAACCCUGUCCUUAGUUACCAGCACGUUAUGGUGGGCACUCUAAGGAGACUGCCGGUGACAAACCGGAGGAAGGUGGGGAGUGACGUCAAGUCAUCAUGGCCCUUACGGCCUGGGCUACACACGUGCUACAAUGGUCGGUACAAAGGGUUGCCAAGCCGCGAGGUGGAGCUAAUCCCAUAAAACCGAUCGUAGUCCGGAUCGCAGUCUGCAACUCGACUGCGUGAAGUCGGAAUCGCUAGUAAUCGUGAAUCAGAAUGUCACGGUGAAUACGUUCCCGGGCCUU
rnacentral:rRNA from 1 species